rnacentral:pre_miRNA from 1 species
CCAUUCUCAGUUGGAGUCUUGAUAUGAUCUAUUAAGGCACGCUGUGAAUGCCA